CAACUCCCUGGCAGCACAUAUAUUAAAAUUGGAAUGAUACAGAGAGAAUUAGCAUGGCCACUGUGCAAGAAUGACACAAAGAUUUGUGAAGUAUUCCAUAUUAAA
rfam:Cavia porcellus supercont2_21 genomic scaffold, whole genome shotgun sequence.